UGAACGCUGGCGGCGUGCCUACUACAUGCAAGUCGAGCGAACAGACGAGGAGCUUGCUCCUCUGACGUUAGCGGCGGACGGGUGAGUAACACGUGGAUAACCUACCUAUAAGACUGGGAUAACUUCGGGAAACCGGAGCUAAUACCGGAUAAUAUAUUGAACCGCAUGGUUCAAUAGUGAAAGACGGUUUUGCUGUCACUUAUAGAUGGAUCCGCGCCGCAUUAGCUAGUUGGUAAGGUAACGGCUUACCAAGGCAACGAUGCGUAGCCGACCUGAGAGGGUGAUCGGCCACACUGGAACUGAGACACGGUCCAGACUCCUACGGGAGUCAGCAGUAGGGAAUCUUCCGCAAUGGGCGAAAGCCUGACGGAGCAACGCCGCGUGAGUGAUGAAGGUCUUCGGAUCGUAAAACUCUGUUAUUAGGGAAGAACAAAUGUGUAAGUAACUAUGCACGUCUUGACGGUACCUAAUCAGAAAGCCACGGCUAACUACGUG
rnacentral:rRNA from 1 species